rnacentral:rRNA from 1 species
UUAAAGUAUGUCGUAGUCCGGGAUUGGAGUCUGCAACUCGACUCCAUUGAAGUCGGAAUCGCUAGUAAUCGUAGAUCAGAAUGCUACGGUGAAUACGUUCCCGGGCCUUGUACACACCGCCCGUCACACCAUGGGAGUGGGUUGCAAAAGAAGUAGGUAGCUUAACCUUCGGGAGGGCGCUUACCACUUUGUGAUUCAUGACUGGGGUGAAGUCGUAACAAGGUAACCGUAGGGGAACCUGCGGUUGGAUCACCUCCUUACCUUAAAGAA